rnacentral:rRNA from 1 species
AUUGAACGCUGGCGGCAGGCCUAACACAUGCAAGUCGAGCGGUUGAGAGUAGCUUGCUACUUGAUGCAGCGGCGGACGGGUGAGUAAUGCAUGGGAAUCUGCCUGGUAGUGGGGGACAACGUUUCGAAAGGAACGCUAAUACCGCAUACGCCCUACGGGGGAAAGGGGGGAGUCUUCGGACCUCUCGCUAUCAGAUGAGCCCAUGUCAGAUUAGCUAGUUGGGGGGGUAAAGGCCCACCAAGGCGACGAUCUGUAACUGGUCUGAGAGGAUGAUCAGUCACACUGGAACUGAGACACGGUCCAGACUCCUACGGGAGCAGCAGUGGGGAAUAUUGGACAAUGGGCGAAAGCCUGAUCCAGCCAUGCCGCGUGUGUGAAGAAGGCCUCGGUUGUAAGCGACUUCUAGUGGGAGAAGGGUUAAGUUACUACCUAAUACGUAGAGUAAAUUAGAUG